rnacentral:rRNA from 1 species
GAAUUAAGCCGGCCGGGACCGGGGUUGGAAGUAAUGGCCCUAGGGAAUCUGCCUGGUAUUGGGGGAUAACGUUUCCGAAAAGGAACGCUAAUACCGCGUACGUCCUACGGGAGAAAGCAGGGGACCUUCGGGCCUUGCGCUAUCAGAUGAGCCUAGGUCGGAUUAGCUAGUUGGUGAGGUAAUGGCUCACCAAGGCGACGAUCCGUAACUGGUCUGAGAGGAUGAUCAGUCACACUGGAACUGAGACACGGUCCAGACUCCUACGGGAGGCAGCAGUGGGGAAUAUUGGACAAUGGGCGAAAGCCUGAUCCAGCCAUGCCGCGUGUGUGAAGAAGGUCUUCGGAUUGUAAAGCACUUUAAGUUGGGAGGAAGGGCAGUAAGUUAAUACUGCUGUUUGACGUACCGAC